rnacentral:rRNA from 1 species
AGUGAACGCUGGCGGUAGGCCUAACACAUGCAAGUCGAACGGCAGCACAGUAAGAGCUUGCUCUUACGGGUGGCGAGUGGCGGACGGGUGAGGAAUACAUCGGAAUCUACUUUUUCGUGGGGGAUAACGUAGGGAAACUUACGCUAAUACCGCAUACGACCUACGGGUGAAAGCAGGGGAUCUUCGGACCUUGCGCGAUUGAAUGAGCCGCUGUCGGAUUAGCUAGUUGGCGGGGUAAAGGCCCACCAAGGCGACGAUCCGUAGCUGGUCUGAGAGGAUGAUCAGCCACACUGGAACUGAGACACGGUCCAGACUCCUACGGGAGGCAGCAGUGGGGAAUAUUGGACAAUGGGCGCAAGCCUGAUCCAGCCAUACCGCGUGGGUGAAGAAGGCCUUCGGGUUGUAAAGCCCUUUUGUUGGGAAAGAAAAGCAGCAGGUUAAUACCCCGCUGUUCUGACGGAACCCAAAGAAUAAGCACCGGCUAACUUCGUG